rnacentral:rRNA from 1 species
CUACGGAGGGUGCAAGCGUUAAUCGGAAUUACUGGGCGUAAAGAGUACGUAGGUGGUUUGUUAAGUCAGAUGUGUAAGCCCCGGGCUCAACCUGGGAACUGCAUUUGAAACUGGCAAACUAGAGUAUGGUAGAGGGGGGUAGAAUUUCUAGCGUAGCGGUGAAAUGCGUAGAUAUUAGAAGGAAUACCAGUGGCGAAGGCGGCCCCCUGGACCAAUACUGACACUGAGGUACGAAAGCGUGGGUAGCGAACAGGAUUAGAAACCCUAGUAGUCC